rnacentral:rRNA from 1 species
GAUGAACGCUGACAGAAUGCUUAACACAUGCCAGUCAACUUGAAUUUGGGUUUUUAACUUAGGUUUGGGUGGCGGACGGGUGAGUAACGCGUAAAGAACUUGCCUCACAGCUAGGGACAACAUUUGGAAACGAAUGCUAAUACCUAAUAUUAUGAUAAUAGGGCAUCCUAUAAUUAUGAAAGCUAUAAGCGCUGUGAGAGAGCUUUGCGUCCCAUUAGCUAGUUGGAGAGGUACCGGCUCACCAAGGCGAUGAUGGGUAGCCGGCCUGAGAGGGUGAUCGGCCACAAGGGGACUGAGACACGGCCCUUACUCCUACGGGAGGCAGCAGUGGGGAAUAUUGGACAAUGGACCGAGAGUCUGAUCCAGCAAUUCUGUGUGCACGAUGAAGUUUUUCGGAAUGUAAAGUGCUUUCAGUUGGGAAGAAACAAAUGACGGUACCAACAGAAGAAGUGACGGCUAAAUACGUG